CUUGAAACACCGGAUCCCGUACGAUUACCGAAGUUAAGCAACGUCUAGUCUGGUCAGUAUCUAGAUAGGUGACCGUUUGGAAAUACCAGG